CGGAACGGGUGAGUAAUACAUCGGAACGUGCCCAUUAGUGGGGGAUAACCCGGCGAAAGCCGGACUAAUACCGCAUACGACCUACGGGUGAAAGCAGGGGAUCGCAAGACCUUGCGCUAUUGGAGCGGCCGAUGGCAGAUUAGCUAGUUGGUGGGGUAAAAGCCUACCAAGGCUACGAUCUGUAGCUGGUCUGAGAGGACGACCAGCCGCACUGGAACUGAGACACGGCCCAG
rnacentral:rRNA from 1 species